GCCCGAUUAGCUCAGCUGGUUAGAGCGUCGUACUAAUAUCACCCUUCUGGGGUCAUAUCUAGUAAAUGCGAAGGUCAACAGUUCAAUCCUGUUAUUGGGCA